rnacentral:piRNA from 1 species
AAGUAUUUGUCCAUCUGGUGAAAGAAA